rnacentral:rRNA from 3 species
ACGGGUGAGUAAUGCAUCGGGAUCUACCCUGACGUGGGGGAUAACCUCGGGAAACCGGGACUAAUACCGCAUACGUCCUACGGGAGAAAGCGGGGGACCUUCGGGCCUCGCGCGGCAGGACGAACCGAUGUGCGAUUAGCUAGUUGGCGGGGUAAUGGCCCACCAAGGCGACGAUCGCUAGCUGGUCUGAGAGGAUGAUCAGCCACACUGGGACUGAGACACGGCCCAGACUCCUACGGGAGGCAGCAGUGGGGAAUAUUGGACAAUGGGCGCAAGCCUGAUCCAGCAAUGCCGCGUGUGUGAAGAAGGCCUUCGGGUUGUAAAGCACUUUUAUCAGGAGCGAAAUACUACGGGUUAAUAACCCGUGGGGCUGACGGUACCUGAGGAAUAAGCACCGGCUAACUUCGUGCCAGCAGCCGCGGUAAUACGAAGGGUGCAAGCGUUAAUCGGAAUUACUGGGCGUAAAGGGUGCGUAGGCGGUUCGUUAAGUCUGUUGUGAAAUCCCCGGGCUCAACCUGGGAAUGGCAAUGGAUACUGGCGAGCUAGAGUGUGUCAGAGGAUGGUGGAAUUCCCGGUGUAGCGG